GAAAAAAGUGGAGAUUUUUAAUCACUGGGGGAGGGGCAGGUCCUGGCAGGGCCAUGGAAAUGUCCCGGCAGGUCCUGGCAGGGACAGGAACAGGGCCAGGUCCUGGCAGGGUCAUGGGCAGCACUCCCAGGUCCUGGCAGGGUCAGAGCCAGGGCCGGGUCCUGGCAGGGCCAUGGACAGAGACAGGGCCAGGUCCUGGCAGGGCCAUGGACAGAGACAGGGCCAGGUCCUGGCAGGGUCAGGGGCAGCACUCCCAGGUCCUGGCAGGGCUAUGGGCAG